rnacentral:misc_RNA from 1 species
GAUGAAGAACGCAGCGAAAUGCGAUAAGUAAUGUGAAUUGCAGAAUUCAAUGAAUCAUCGAGUCUUUGAACGCACAUUGCGCCCCCUGGUAUUCCGGGGGGCAUGCCUGUCCGAGCGUCAUUGCUGCCCUCAAGCACGGCUUGUGUGUUGGGCCUCCGUCCUCCUCCCGGGGGACGGGCCCGAAAGGCAGCGGCGGCACCGCGUCCGGUCCUCGAGCGUAUGGGGCUUCGUCACCCGCUCUUGUAGGCCCGGCCGGCGCUUGCCGACACAUCAAUCUUUUUUCCAGGUUGACCUCGGAUCAGGUAGGGAUACCCGCUGAACUUAAGCAUAUCAAUAAGCGGAGGA